AGAGUUUGAUCAUGGCUCAGGACGAACGCUGGCGGCGUGCUUAACACAUGCAAGUCGAACGGAGCUUACUUAGACGGAGUUUUCGGACAAAGACUAUAUAAGCUUAGUGGCGGACGGGUGAGUAACGCGUGAGGAACCUGCCUUUCAGAGGGGGAUAACGUUUGGAAACGAACGCUAAUACCGCAUGAUACAGUAUGGCGGCAUCGCCUAACUGUCAAAGGAGCAAUCCGCUGAAAGAUGGCCUCGCGUCCGAUUAGCCAGUUGGCGGGGUAAAGGCCCACCAAAGCGACGAUCGGUAGCCGGACUGAGAGGUUGAACGGCCACAUUGGGACUGAGACACGGCCCAGACUCCUACGGGAGGCAGCAGUGGGGGAUAUUGCACAAUGGGGGAAACCCUGAUGCAGCGAUGCCGCGUGGAGGAAGAGGGUUUUCGGAUUGUAAACUCCUGUCGUAAGGGAAGAGAAAGGACUGUACCUUACAAGAAAGCUCCGGCUAACUACGUACCAGCAGCCGCGGUAAUACGUAGGGAGCGAGCGUUGUCCGGAAUGACUGGGUGUAAAGGGAGCGUAGGCGGGAUGGCAAGUCAGAUGUGAAACCUGAGGGCUCAACCUUCAGACUGCAUUUGAAACUGCUGUUCUUGAGUGAAGUAGAGGUAAGCGGAAUUCCUGGUGUAGCGGUGAAAUGCGUAGAGAUCAGGAGGAACAUCGGUGGCGAAGGCGGCUUACUGGGCUUUUACUGACGCUGAGGCUCGAAAGCGUGGGGAGCAAACAGGAUUAGAUACCCUGGUAGUCCACGCUGUAAACGAUGAUUACCAGGUGUGGGGGGAUUGACCCCUUCCGUGCCGCAGUUAACACAAUAAGUAAUCCACCCGGGGAGUACGACCGCAAGGUUGAAACUCAAAGGAAUUGACGGGGGCCCGCACAAGCAGUGGAGUAUGUGGUUUAAUUCGAAGCAACGCGAAGAACCUUACCAGGUCUUGACAUCGAGUGACGUAUCCAGAGAUGGAUAUUUCCUUCGGGACACAAAGACAGGUGGUGCAUGGUUGUCGUCAGCUCGUGUCGUGAGAUGUUGGGUUAAGUCCCGCAACGAGCGCAACCCUUAUCAUUAGUUGCUACGCAAGAGCACUCUAAUGAGACUGCCGUUGACAAAACGGAGGAAGGUGGGGAUGACGUCAAAUCAUCAUGCCCCUUAUGACCUGGGCUACACACGUACUACAAUGGCGAUCGAACAGAGGGAAGCAAGACAGCGAUGUGGAGCCAAUCCCAAAAAAUCGCCCCAGUUCAGAUUGCAGGCUGCAACUCGCCUGCAUGAAGUCGGAAUUGCUAGUAAUCGCAGAUCAGCAUGCUGCGGUGAAUACGUUCCCGGGCCUUGUACACACCGCCCGUCACACCAUGGGAGUCGGUAACACCCAAAGCCGGUCGUCUAACCUUCGGGAGGACGCCGUCUAAGGUGGGAUUGAUGACUGGGGUGAAGUCGUAACAAGGUA
rnacentral:rRNA from 1 species